GCUGAAAGGACACGCAGUCAAAUCAGUCUGAGACAUUGGAUAGCUCUGGGUUGGAGGCCUUUCACUCUGUGGUACUGCUCUCUGUAUGUAUAUAGUAGGUUAAUAUAGAAGUUGGAGGCCUUUCACUCUGUGGUACUGCUCUCUGUAUGUAUAUAGUAGGUUAAUAUAGAAGUUGGAGACCUUUCACUCUGUGGUACUGCUCUCUGUAUGUAUAUAGUAGGUUAAUAUAGAAGUUGGAGACCUUUCACUCUGUGGUACUGCUCUCUGUAUGUAUAUAGUAGGUUAAUAUAGAAGUUGGAGACCUUUCACUCUGUGGUACUGCUCUCUGUAUGUAUAUAGUAGGUUAAUAUAGAAGUUGGAGACCUUUCACUCUGUGGUACUGCUCUCUGUAUGUAUAUAGUAGGUUAAUAUAGAAGUUGGAGACCUUUCACUCUGUGGUACUGCUCUCUGUAUGUAUAUAGUAGGUUAAUAUAGAAGUUGGAGACCUUUCACUCUGUGGUACUGCUCUCUGUAUGUAUAUAGUAGGUUAAUAUAGAAGUUGGAGGCCUUUCACUCUGUGGUACUGCUCUCUGUAUGUAUAUAGUAGGUUAAUAUAGAAGUUGGAGACCUUUCACUCUGUGGUACUGCUCUCUGUAUGUAUAUAGUAGGUUAAGACGUUGGAGACCUUUCACUCUGUGGUACUGCUCUCUGUAUGUAUAUAGUAGGUCAAGACGUUGGAGACCUUUCACUCUGUGGUACUGCUCUGUGUAUGUAUAUAGUAGGUUAAUAUAGAAGUUGGAGACCUUUCACUCUGUGGUACUGCUCUGUGUAUGUAUAUAGUAGGUUAAUAUAGAAGUUGGAGACCUUUCACUCUGUGGUACUGCUCUCUGUAUGUAUAUAGUAGGUUAAUAUAGAAGUUGGAGACCUUUCACUCUGUGAUACUGCUCUCUGUAUGUAUAUAGUAGGUUAAUAUAGAAGUUGGAGACCUUUCACUCUGUGAUACUGCUCUCUGUAUGUAUAUAGUAGGUUAAUAUAGAAGUUGGAGGCCUUUCACUCUGUGGUACUGCUCUCUGUAUGUAUAUAGUAGGUUAAUAUAGAAGUUGGAGACCUUUCACUCUGUGGUACUGCUCUCUGUAUGUAUAUAGUAGGUUAAUAUAGAAGUUGGAGGCCUUUCACUCUGUGGUACUGCUCUCUGUAUGUAUAUAGUAGGUUAAUAUAGAAGUUGGAGACCUUUCACUCUGUGGUACUGCUCUCUGUAUGUAUAUAGUAGGUUAAUAUAGAAGUUGGAGACCUUUCACUCUGUGGUACUGCUCUCUGUAUGUAUAUAGUAGGUUAAUAUAGAAGUUGGAGGCCUUUCACUCUGUGGUACUGCUCUCUGUAUGUAUAUAGUAGGUUAAUAUAGAAGUUGGAGACCUUUCACUCUGUGGUACUGCUCUCUGUAUGUAUAUAGUAGGUUAAUAUAGAAGUUGGAGACCUUUCACUCUGUGGUACUGCUCUCUGUAUGUAUAUAGUAGGUUAAUAUAGAAGUUGGAGGCCUUUCACUCUGUGGUACUGCUCUCUGUAUGUAUAUAGUAGGUUAAUAUAGAAGUUGGAGACCUUUCACUCUGUGGUACUGCUCUCUGUAUGUAUAUAGUAGGUUAAUAUAGAAGUUGGAGACCUUUCACUCUGUGGUACUGCUCUCUGUAUGUAUAUAGUAGGUUAAUAUAGAAGUUGGAGGCCUUUCACUCUGUGGUACUGCUCUCUGUAUGUAUAUAGUAGGUUAAUAUAGAAGUUGGAGACCUUUCACUCUGUGGUACUGCUCUCUGUAUGUAUAUAGUAGGUUAAUAUAGAAGUUGGAGGCCUUUCACUCUGUGGUACUGCUCUCUGUAUGUAUAUAGUAGGUUAAUAUAGAAGUUGGAGACCUUUCACUCUGUGGUACUGCUCUCUGUAUGUAUAUAGUAGGUUAAUAUAGAAGUUGGAGGCCUUUCACUCUGGUACUGCUCUCUGUAUGUAUAUAGUAGGUUAAUAUAGAAGUUGGAGACCUUUCACUCUGUGGUACUGCUCUCUGUAUGUAUAUAGUAGGUUAAUAUAGAAGUUGGAGACCUUUCACUCUGUGGUACUGCUCUCUGUAUGUAUAUAGUAGGUUAAUAUAGAAGUUGGAGACCUUUCACUCUGUGGUACUGCUCUCAGGUUAAUAUAGAAGUUGGAGGCCUUUCACUCUGUGAUACUGCUCUCUGUAUGUAUAUAGUAGGUUAAUAUAGAAGUUGGAGACCUUUCACUCUGUGGUACUGCUCUCUGUAUG